CACGUAGGGCGCAAGCGUUGUCCGGAAUUAUUGGGCGUAAAGAGCUCGUAGGCGGUCUGUUACGUCUGCUGUGAAAACCCGGGGCUUAACCCUGGGCUUGCAGUGGAUACGGGCAGACUAGAGGCAGGUAGGGGAGAAUGGAAUUCCCGGUGUAGCGGUGAAAUGCGCAGAUAUCGGGAGGAACACCGGUGGCGAAGGCAGGUCACUGGGCCGCAACUGACGCUGAGGAGCGAAAGCAUGGGGAGCGAACAGG
rnacentral:rRNA from 1 species